ACUCCUGCGGGAGGCAGCAGUGGGGAAUAUUGGACAAUGGGCGCAAGCCUGAUCCAGCCAUGCCGCGUGAGUGAUGAAGGCCCUAGGGUUGUAAAGCUCUUUCACCGGUGAAGAUAAUGACGGUAACCGGAGAAGAAGCCCCGGCUAACUUCGUGCCAGCAGCCGCGGUAAUACGAAGGGGGCUAGCGUUGUUCGGAUUUACUGGGCGUAAAGCGCACGUAGGCGGACUAUUAAGUCAGGGGUGAAAUCCCGGGGCUCAACCCCGGAACUGCCUUUGAUACUGGUAGUCUUGAGUUCGAGAGAGGUGAGUGGAAUUCCGAGUGUAGAGGUGAAAUUCGUAGAUAUUCGGAGGAACUCCAGUGGCGAAGGCGGCUCACUGGCUCGAUACUGACGCUGAGGUGCGAAAGCGUGGGGAGCAAACAGGAUUAGAAACCCGAGUAGUCCCA
rnacentral:rRNA from 1 species